UAGGGAAUCUUCGGCAAUGGACGGAAGUCUGACCGAGCAACGCCGCGUGAGUGAAGAAGGUUUUCGGAUCGUAAAGCUCUGUUGUAAGAGAAGAACGAGUGUGAGAGUGGAAAGUUCACACUGUGACGGUAUCUUACCAGAAAGGGACGGCUAACUACGUGCCAGCAGCCGCGGUAAUACGUAGAUCCCGAGCGUUGUCCGGAUUUAUUGGGCGUAAAGCGAGCGCAGGCGGUUAGAUAAGUCUGAAGUUAAAGGCUGUGGCUUAACCAUAGUAGGCUUUGGAAACUGUUUAACUUGAGUGCAAGAGGGGAGAGUGGAAUUCCAUGUGUAGCGGUGAAAUGCGUAGAUAUAUGGAGGAACACCGGUGGCGAAAGCGGCUCUCUGGCUUGUAACUGACGCUGAGGCUCGAAAGCGUGGGGAGCAAACAGGAUUAGAUACCCUGGUAGUCCACGCUGUAAACGAUGAGUGCUAGGUGUUAGACCCUUUCCGGGGUUUAGUGCCGUAGCUAACGCAUUAAGCACUCCGCCUGGGGAGUACGACCGCAAGGUU
rnacentral:rRNA from 1 species